CAGUUCAUCUGUGCCCGUUUGCAGACAGUCACCUGGGUUACUUUUCUCCGUCUCCUCUCUACUAACAGUAGCCUGGACAGUGAGUUCUGCAGUAAUGAGAUUUUCCUAGACAACCUGACUUGCUGGGUCUCUUCUUUAAAAAGAUGACAUCUAGAUUUAGAAAUGAGGGCAGCAUGUCAUUUCCUUGAAAAAGAAUAAGGAUCUGUACAGAGGUGCAACUGGGUGAUAACGCACAUAUUUCAAGGUAUAAUAUGUGUGUGUGAAUAUGCUUGACUAUUAGAACCAUAGUAUAAAAUAGUGAGAGGAAAUUAUAAAGAGAAUUUCUUUGGACUUAGUGUCAAGAGGUUCAUGUCCUGG